rnacentral:snRNA from 1 species
GUGCUCGCUUCGGCAGCACAUAUACUAAAAUUGGAAUGGUACAGAGAAGAUUAGCACGGCCCCUGUGCAAGGAUGACACACAAAUUCGUGAAGCAUUCCUUAUUUUU